AUACAACUCCAGGCUUCGAUUUCCAGUUGAUGCAGCAUCACCGCUGGGCCCAGGGACAAGUGUCGCCUGCUCACUGUGAGGAAUGACAGCUGCCUCUUCAGCUGCUGCUCCAGACCCUACAGUGCUCCCUGGGCUGGGGCUGCCUGGAGCAGCCUGACUUCCAGGAGUAGCCAGGGUCCCAGGAGCAGCUGGUCUCCCAGAAUCUUGUGGGCAACUCUGAGGGACGUUGCCAUGGUCACCUUCAGUUGCCGAAUUUUGAGAGCUAGCCUGGGCAUCCGGAGCUUGAGGCCUCAGUUGGCUAUCCUCACCUUCUUCAAGCCCUGCUCUCCCAUCUAAGCCCUCAACAGGGUUCUGCAUGACUACUCUGGCUUUUCCCUCAGCGCCCCAAUCCAGUCACUAACAUAACCAUACCUCUCUCUCAAUUCGACCAAGAAAUGGAUGUUCCCGUGCCAAGCACAGGCAGCGGGUUUAUGCACCGAACAGCACGUGAGACUCACUGCGCAUGAGCAAACAAGAUCUCGCGAGGGCCUCAUCUAGGCAGAGGCAGC
rnacentral:lncRNA from 1 species